UGGGGAAUAUUGCACAAUGGGCGCAAGCCUGAUGCAGCCAUGCCGCGUGUAUGAAGAAGGCCUUCGGGUUGUAAGGUACUUUCAGCGGGGAGGAAGGGAGUAAAGUUAAUACCUUUGCUCAUUGACGUUACCCGCAGAAGAAGCACCGGCUAACUCCGUGCCAGCAGCCGCGGUAAUACGGAGGGUGCAAGCGUUAAUCGGAAUUACUGGGCGUAAAGCGCACGCAGGCGGUUUGUUAAGUCAGAUGUGAAAUCCCCGGGCUCAACCUGGGAACUGCAUCUGAUACUGGCAAGCUUGAGUCUCGUAGAGGGGGGUAGAAUUCCAGGUGUAGCGGUGAAAUGCGUAGAGAUCUGGAGGAAUACCGGUGGCGAAGGCGGCCCCCUGGACGAAGACUGACGCUCAGGUGCGAAAGCGUGGGGAGCAAACAGG
rnacentral:rRNA from 1 species